rnacentral:rRNA from 1 species
UACGUAGGGAGCAAGCGUUGUCCGGAAUCAUUGGGCGUAAAGCGCGUGUAGGCGGUCUGGAAAGUCUGGUGUGAAAACUUGAGGCUCAACCUCAAGCUGUCGCUGGAUACUGUCAGACUUGAGUCCGGAAGAGGAGUGUGGAAUUCCUGGUGUAGCGGUGGAAUGCGCAGAUAUCAGGAGGAACACCUAUGGCGAAGGCAGCACUCUGGUACGUGACUGACGCUGAGACGCGAAAGCGUGGGGAGCAAACAGG